rnacentral:rRNA from 1 species
UCAAGCGAGUAAGGGCCUGCGAUGGAUGACUAGGCAUCGGCUGGCGAAGAAGGGCGUGGGUUUCUGCGAAAAGCGUCGGGGAGCUGUAACCAAGCUAAGAUCCGGCGGUGCCCGAAUGGGGAAACCCACCAUGCAGUAAUGCAUGGUAUCUGCGCAAGCGGAGGCGAACCCGGGGAACUGAAACAUCUUAGUACCCGGAGGAGAAGAAAUCAAACGAGAUUUCCUGAGUAGCGGCGAGCGAAAGGGGAGAAGCCCAAACCCUUGUCUACGUAGAAGCGUUAGGGCGUUGUAGCAAGGGGGUUGUAGGAUCCGGUGGGCACAGCCUAACCUGUGCCGAGGAGUUACAAAGGCUGGUGGUAGUGGAACCACCUGGAAAGGUGGACCAUAGAGGGUGAUAGUCCCGUACACGAAACUGCCAGCUCUCCUGCCGGAGAUCCUGAGUACGAUCUGGCACGUGGAACCAGGUCGGAAGCAGGGGGGACCACCCUCCAAGGCUAAAUACACGCCGAUGACCGAUAGUGAACGAGUACCGUGAGGGAAAGUUGAAAAGAACCCCGAGAGGGGAGUGAAAUAGAGCCUGAAAUCGCAGGUUUACAAGGUGUCGUAGCCACGAGUUGGCGGCGGCGUUCCUUUUGCAGAAUGAGCCGGCGAGUUACUCUAUGCUGCGAGGUUAGGGGAGUUAAUUCCUGAGCCGGAGCGAAAGCGAGUCCGAAGAGGGCGAUAAGUGGCAUGGAGUAUGACCCGAAGCCGGGUGAUCUACCCAUGGGCAGGAUGAAGCGUGUGUAAAAGCACGUGGAGGUCCGAACCGGUUGGCGUUGAAAAGCCAUCGGAUGACCUGUGGGUAGGGGUGAAAGGCCAAACAAACUCGGCGAUAGCUGGUUCUCCCCGAAAUAGCUUUAGGGCUAGCGUCAUGAGAUGAGUUAGGGGGGUAGAGCGCUGAAAGGGAUCAGGGGGCUUAGCGGCCUACCGAACCCUAUCAAACUUCGAAUACCCUAACUUAAAUCAUGGCAGUCAGAGCAUGUGGGAUAAGCUUCAUGCUCGAGAGGGAAAGAGCCCAGACCGACAGCUAAGGUCUCGAAGUCUAUGCUAAGUGUGAUGAAAGGAUGUGGGGGUGCGGAGACAGCCAGGAGGUUGGCUUAGAAGCAGCCAUCCUUUAAAGAGUGCGUAAUAGCUCACUGGUCGAGCAUCCUUGCGCCGAAAAUGUAAGGGGCUAAAGCAUAGCACCGAAGCUUCGGAGCUGCGAAAGCAGUUGGUAGGGGAGCGAUGUGCACAGCGCUGAAGGUAUGCUGGAAGGUAUACUGGAGCGUGCACAUGUGAGAAUGCCGGCAUGAGUAGCGAUAAAGGAGGUGAGAUUCCUCCUCGCCGUAAGUCCAAGGGUUCCCUGGCAAGGCCAAUCCGCCGGGGGUUAGCCGGGACCUAAGGUGAACCCGAGAGGGGUAGCCGAUGGGAAGCGGGUUUAUAUUCCUGCGCCACCGGUAUAGCGUUUGAGCGAUGGGGUGACCCAGGAGGGUAUGCUAGCGUAGAGAUGGUAUUCUACGUGUCUGCAUGUAGGCUGAGAGGCAGGUAGGCAAAUCCGCCUGCUGAGCUGAGGUGUGGACGGAGUGCAUCUACGGGUGCACGAAGUAGCAGAGCCCACACUGGCGAGAAAAACCUCUAAGCGAGUUAUACUGGUGCCCGUACCGGAAACGGACACACGUGGACGAGGUGAGCAACCUAAGGCGCUCGGGAGAAUGCCUGCUAAGGAACUCGGCAAAAUGGCCCCGUAACUUCGGGAGAAGGGGUGCCACUUAUGGUGAAGUGCAUUACGCAUGGAGCCGUGAGUGGUCGCAGUGAAGAGGGAGCGGCGACUGUUUACCAAAAACACAGGUCUCUGCGAACUCGUAAGAGGACGUAUAGGGGCUGACACCUGCCCGGUGCCGGAAGGUUAAGGGGACGGGUUAGCCCGCGAGGGCGAAGCUCGGAACCGAAGCCCCGGUAAACGGCGGCCGUAACUAUGACGGUCCUAAGGUAGCGAAAUUCCUUGUCGGGUAAGUUCCGACCCGCACGAAUGGUGUAACGACUGCUUCGCUGUCUCGGCAGGCAGCCCGGCGAAAUUCUAGAGCCCGUGAAGAUGCGGGCUACCCGCAGCUGGACGGAAAGACCCCGUGAACCUUUACUGUAGCCUGGCAUUGAACUUUGGUUCGGUAUGUGUAGGAUAGGUGGGAGGCGGAGAAGCCUGGACGCCAGUUCAGGUGGAGCCGACCUUGAAAUACCACCCUUAUCGAGCUGGGGUUCUAACCUACGAAAGUAGGGACAGUGUUAGGUGGGCAGUUUGACUGGGGCGGUCGCCUCCUAAAGGGUAACGGAGGCGCCCAAAGGUUCCCUCAGCACGGCUGGAAAUCGUGCGUAGAGUGUAAAGGCAGAAGGGAGCCUGACUGUGAGACUGACAGGUCGAGCAGGGACGAAAGUCGGGCUUAGUGAUCCGGUGGUUCUGAGUGGAAGGGCCAUCGCUCAACGGAUAAAAGGUACUCCGGGGAUAACAGGCUUAUCGGUCCCAAGAGUUCAUAUCGACGGACCGGUUUGGCACCUCGAUGUCGGCUCGUCGCAUCCUGGGGCUGGAGUAGGUCCCAAGGGUUUGGCUGUUCGCCAAUUAAAGCGGCACGUGAGCUGGGUUCAGAACGUCGUGAGACAGUUCGGUCCCUAUCCACUGCGGGCGUUGGAGAUUUGAGGGGAGCUGUCCCUAGUACGAGAGGACCGGGAUGGACGGACCGCUAGUGCACCAGUUGUCAUGCCAGUGGCACAGCUGGGUAGCUAUGUCCGGAUGGGAUAACCGCUGAAGGCAUCUAAGCGGGAAGCCCACCCCAAGAUAAGAUCUCCCAUCUGCGAAAGCGGACUGAAGGCGCCUCGAAGACUACGAGGUAGAUAGGUCUCAGGUGUAAGCGCAGUAAUGCGUUGAGCCGAGAGAUACUAAUAUGCCGUGAGGCUUGACCAU